UACGUAGGAUGCGAGCGUUAUCCGGAUUUAUUGGGUUUAAAGGGUGCGUAGGCGGACGCUUAAGUCAGCGGUAAAAUUGCGGGGCUCAACCUCGUCGAGCCGUUGAAACUGGGUGCCUUGAGUGGGCGAGAAGUACGCGGAAUGCGUGGUGUAGCGGUGAAAUGCAUAGAUAUCACGCAGAACUCCGAUUGCGAAGGCAGCGUACCGGCGCCCUACUGACGCUGAGGCACGAAAGUGCGGGGAUCGAACAGG
rnacentral:rRNA from 1 species